rnacentral:rRNA from 1 species
UGAACGGGAUGAGCUCAAUUUAAAUCUGGCGUCUUUCAGGCGUCCGAGUUGUAAUCUAUAGAGGCGUUUUCCGCGCCGGACCGCGUCCAAGUCUCUUGGAAUAGAGUAUCAAAGAGGGUGACAAUCCCGUACUUGACGCGACAACCGGUGCUCUGUGAUACGUUCUCAAUGAGUCGAGUUGUUUGGGAAUGCAGCUCUAAAUGGGUGGUAAAUUCCAUCUAAGGCUAAAUAUUGGCGAGAGACCGAUAGCGAACAAGUACCGUGAGGGAAAGAUGAAAAGCACUUUGGAAAGAGAGUUAAACAGCACGUGAAAUUGUUAAAAGGGAAACGAUUGAAGUCAGUCGUGUGAAAGGUAUUCAGCCGUCUCUGGCGGUGUAUUUGCCUUUCACGGGUCAACAUCAGUUUGAUCCGGUAGAAAAAGGCGGGAGGAAGGUGGCACCCUCGGGUGUGUUAUAGCCUCCUGUCAUAUGUGCCGGACCAGACUGAGGAACGCAGCUUGCCGCAAGGCCGGGGUUCGCCCACGUACAAGCUUAGGAUGUUGACAUAAUGGCUUUAAACGA